rnacentral:tRNA from 1 species
UGGGGUAUAGUUCAGUUGGUAGAACGGGCGGCUGUUAACCGCUAUGUCGUAGGUUCGAGUCCUACUACCCCAG